rnacentral:ncRNA from 2 species
UGCAAACACUCUGGAGAGACCGGCCGCGCGAGAGCGCCGGCGCCGGCGCCGAAGGGGCACGAAGCACGCGACCUCGUCCGCGCGUCUUCCAAACUCUCAGGCAAAAGGACAGAGGGGCAUCC